AGUGCGUAACAGCUCACUGGUCGAGUGGACAUGCGCCGACAAUACACGGGGCUAAGCUGGACACCGAAGCGGCGGGAUUUUAAUUCAUUAGAAUCGGUAGGGGAGCUUCCCAUGGGCGGAGAAGCCGGAGGGCGACCGACGGUGGAGCGCAUGGGAGUGAGAAUGCUGGCAUGAGUAGCGAGAGACGAGAGAGUAACUCGUCCGCCGUGAACCCGAGGUUUCCUGGGCAAGGCUAAUCCUCCCAGGGUCAGUCGGGGGCUAAGGCGAGGCCGGGAGGCGUAGCCGACGCGCAGCAGGCAGACAUUCCUGCACCGCGCACGCGGCGCUACGACCGACGGGGCGACGGAUGGGGGUGGCUCGGCGGGGUUCUGGACGUCCCCGUGAUGGAGCGCGGCCCGCGGACCAGGGAAAUCCGGUCCGCACACAGGGCGAGGCUCCGGACGAAGCGACUGAGCGAAGCGAGUGAGCCCGAGGUCCCUAGAAAAACCCCUAGGCAGGCGCGUGCGCGCCCGUACCGCAAACCGACACAGGUGGGUGGGUAGAACAUACCGAGGCGAUCGGGUCAACCAUGGUCAAGGAACUCGGCACAAUGGCCCCGUAACUUCGGGAGAAGGGGUGCCCGCGCGUACGUGAACCGGCUUGCCCGGGGAGCGGAGGCGGGCCGCAGUGGAGAGGCCCAAGCGACUGUUUACCAAAAACACAGGACUCUGCAGAAGCCGCAAGGCGACGUAUAGGGUCUGACGCCUGCCCGGUGCCGGAAGGUCACGCGGAGGAGUUAGCCAUUUCGGCGAAGCCCCGAAGCCAAGCCCCGGUAAACGGCGGCCGUAACUAUAACGGUCCUAAGGUAGCGAAAUUCCUUGUCGGGUAAGUUCCGACCUGCACGAAUGGCGUAACGACUUGGGCGCUGUCUCAACCAUGGACCCGGUGAAAUUGUAUUGGUCGUGAAGAUGCGACUUACCCGCGGAAGGACGGAAAGACCCCGUGAACCUUCACUGCAGCUUGGCAUUGGCCGCUGGUCCCGCGUGUAGAGGAUAGGCAGGAGGCAUCGAUCCGGAGGCGCCAGCCCCCGGGGAGCCGCCCUUGGAAUACUGCCCUCGCGCGACCGGCGUCCUAACCCGAGGCCGUCAACCGGCUCGGGGACCGUGCCAGGCGGGCAGUUUGACUGGGGCGGUCGCCUCCUAAAGGGUAACGGAGGCGCGCGAAGGUCCGCUCGGGACGGUCGGCAACCGUCCUUUUGAAUGCAAGAGUACAAGCGGGCUUGACUGCGAGGCCCACAAGCCGAGCAGGUGCGAAAGCAGGCUCUAGUGAUCCGGCGGCCCCGAGUGGGUGGGCCGUCGCUCAACGGAUAAAAGGUACUCCGGGGAUAACAGGC
rnacentral:rRNA from 1 species